GCCGGUUCCUGGCUAGGGCUUCACCCUCUGGCUUGUGCCCACGAACCUAGGUGAGGACAGGCACUCCUGCCUUUGGGCCCAAAUGUUGCAUUUUCCAAAACCACCCUGGCCCACCACACCCCCAUCCUGGGCGGAUAAAAACUGAGACCCUAGCAGGCAGAUAGAUACACAAGCGUCUGGACGUCCAGAGGAGGGGAUCAGCGGAAGAAGACACAAGCAGCCGGACAUCGAGAGGAUGUCGAGGGGAGCAUGCCAGUGGAAGAGCACAUGACAGACACUGGCAGGACAGCAGGCCAUUGACUGGAGGAACGAUGUGGAGUUUAGCGAGAUCAGGAGGAGGAGAGCACGGGCCGCUAAGCAGAGGGACCCCUGGUGCAUCUCCCAUCUGGCUCCCCCAUCUGCUGAGAACUACUUCUACUCAGUAAAACCUCGGACUCAUUCUCCAAGCCCUCGCGUGAUCUGGUUCUUCCGGUACACCACGGCAGGAAACCCUGGGAUACAGAAAUCCCUCCGUCCUUGUGGAUUUUAGAAUGCCAAGCUGACAUUUUGAGUUUUUAUGAGAAACCAGAAAAUUUGGUGUGAAGACCCUAAGUGGUGUGUCUGACUUACAGCAGGCCCACAGUACCUGUUAUUGAGUGAGAUAAGCAAAUGGUAUUUCAGGACCAAAACAUCUGUUUCCUGAAGAGUUGCUCCUUUAAUUGUGUAUCUACCUACCUGUCUAUGUAACUCUUGGCAAAUACAUUGGAGACUUCUCAACUUUCUGCUUCUGAUGAUCUCAACUUGUGGUAUGGCAAAAGGAGAGCAAAAUGUUCACCCAGAUGACAUCGUGAUCAACUCCUCUGAAUCACUCUAAAGGAACGAGAAGUCCUGGCAGCUGAGUCAUGAUCCCCCAGGAGCCAUUAAGAAGUUAAUCUUCAGUCACUUCCAUCCAAACAGAAGAAAACCCAUGAAGGAUGAGAACUAUGGGUCCUGAGAAUGACAGGUAUUGAAGACAGGAUUUAUCUUCUCUACUUCUUCUUUUAGAAGCAGAUCAAGAAACUGGCGAUUGAAGAGUAACUGAAAGAAACGCAAUCUGAUCUUACUAGCAGUGAAAGAGCGAGUCUCCCUCUGAUGCCGAGCAGAAGCUAGACUGUACUGCUGCCAUCUCAGCUCACUGCAACCUCCCUGCCUGAUUCUCCUGCCUCAGCCUGCUGAGUGCCUGCAAUUGCAGGCGCGCCGCCACGCCUGACUGGUUUUCGUAUUUUUUUGGUGGAGACGGGGAUUCGCUGUGUUGGCCGGGCUGGUCUCCAGCUCCUAACCGCGAGUGAUCCACCAGCCUCGGCCUCCUGAGGUGCCGGGAUUGCAGACGGAGUCUGGUUCACUCAGUGCUCAAUGGCGCCCAGACUGGAGUGCAGUGGCGUGAUCUCAGCUCGCUACAACCUCCACCUCCCAGCCGCCUCCCUUGGCCUCCCAAAGUGCAGAGAUUGCAGCCUCUGCCCGGCCGCCACCCCGCCUGGGAAGUGAGGAGCGUCUCUGCCUGGCCGCCCAUUGUCUGGGAUGUGAGGAGCCCCUCUGCCUGGCUGCCCAGUCUGGAAAGUGAGGAGUGUCUCUGCCUGGCCGCCAUCCCAUCUAGGAAGUGAGGAGCGCCUCUUCCCGGCCGCCAUCCCAUCUAGGAAGUGAGGAGCCUCUCUGCCCAGCCGCCCAUCGUCUGAGAUGUGGGGAGCGCCUCUGCCCCGCCGCCCCGUCUGGGAUGUGAGGAGCGCCUCUACCCCGCCGCGACCCCGUCUGGGAGGUGAGGAGCGUCUCUGCCCGGCGGCCCCGUCUGGGAAGUGAGGAGACCCUCCGCCCGGCAGCCGCCCCAUCUGAGAAGUGAGGAGCCCCUCUGCCCAGCAGCCACCCUGUCUGGGAAGUGAGGAGCGUCUCUGCCCAGCAGCCACCCCGUCUGGGAGGGAGGUGGGGGGUCAGCCCCCCGCCCGGCCAGCCGCCCCGUCCGGGAGGUGAGGGGCGCCUCUGCCCGGCGGCCCCUACUGGGAAGUGAGGAGCCCCUCUGCCCGGCCAGCCGCCCCGUCUGGGAAGUGAGGAGCGUCUCCGCCCAGCAGCCACCCCGUCCGGGAGGGAGGUGGGGGGAUCAGCCCCCCGCCCGGCCAGCCGCCCAGUCCGGGAGGGAGGUGGGGGGGUCAGCCCCCCGCCCGGCCAGCCGCCCCGUCCGGGAGGUGAGGGGUGCCUCUGCCCGGCCGCCCCUACUGGGAAGUGAGGAGCCCCUCUGCCCGGCCAGCCGCCCGGUCCGGGAGGGAGGUGGGGGGGUCAGCCCCCUGCCUGGCAAGCCGCCCCGUCUGGGAGGGAGGUGGGGGGAUCAGCCCCCCGCCGGGCCAGCCACCCCGUCCGGGAGGUGAGGGGUGCCUCUGCCCGGCCGCCCCUACUGGGAAGUGAGGAGCCCCUCUGCCCGGCCAGCCGCCCCAUCCGGGAGUGAGGUGGGGGGGUCAGCCCCCUGCCCGGCCAGCCGCCCCGUCCGGGAGGUGAGGGGCGCCUCUGCCCGGCCGCCCCUACUGGGAAGUGAGGAGCCCCUCUGCCCGGCCACCACCCCGUCUGGGAGGUGUACCCAACAGCUCAUUGAGAACGGGCCAUGAUGACAAUGGCGGUUUUGUGGAAUAGAAAGCGGGGAAAGGUGGGGAAAAGAUUGAGAAAUCGGAUGGUUGCCGUGUCUGUGUAGAAAGAGGUAGACAUGGGAGACUUUUCAUUUUGUUCUGUACUAAGAAAAAUUCUUAUCCUGUUGAUCUGUGACCUUACCCCCAACCCCGUGCUCUCUGAAACAUGUGCUGUGUCCACUCAGGGCUAAAUGGAUUAAGGGCGGUGCAAGAUGUGCUUUGUUAAACAGAUGCUUGAAGGCAGCAUGCUCGUUGAGAGUCAUCACCACUCCCUAAUCUCAAGUAACCAGGGACACAAACACUGUGGAAGGCCGCAGGGUCCUCUGCCUAGGAAAACCAGAGACCUUUGUUCACUUGUUUAUCUGCUGACCUUCCCUCCACUAUUGUCCUAUGACCCUGCCAAAUCCCCCUCUGCGAGAAACACCCAAGAAUGAUCAAUAAAAAAAUAAAAUAAAAUAAAAUAAAAUAAAAUAAAUAAAGUUUCAUGCGCAUCCGUGUGAAGAGACCACCAAACAGGCUUUGUGUGAGCAGCAUGGCUGUUUAUUUCACCUGGGUGCAGGCGGGCUGAGUCCGAAAAGAGAGUCAGCCAAGGG
rnacentral:lncRNA from 1 species